rnacentral:tRNA from 1 species
GCGCCUGUAGCUCAGCUGGAUAGAGCGCUGCCCUCCGGAGGCAGAGGCCGGACGUUCGAAUCGUCUCAGGCGCACCA